rnacentral:rRNA from 1 species
GGGAAUAUUGCCCAAUGGCGAAAGCCUGAUGCAGCAACGCCGCGUGAGGGAUGACGGCUUUCGGGUUGUAAACUCUUUUAGUAGGGAGAAGCGAAAGUGACGGUACCUGCAGAAAAAGCACCGGCUAACUACGUGCCAGCAGCCGCGGUAAUACGUAGGGUGCAAGCGUUGUCCGGAAUUAUUGGGCGUAAAGAGCUCGUAGGCGGUUUGUCGCGUCUGCUGUGAAAUCCCGAGGCUCAACCUCGGGCUUGCAGUGGGUACGGGCAGACUAGAGUGCGGUAGGGGAGAUUGGAAUUCCUGGUGUAGCGGUGGAAUGCGCAGAUAUCAGGAGGAACACCGAUGGCGAAGGCAGAUCUCUGGGCCGUAACUGACGCUGAGGAGCGAAAGCAUGGGGAGCGAACAGGAUUAGAUACCCUGGUAGUCCAUGCCGUAAACGUUGGGCGCUAGAUGUAGGGACCUUUCCACGGUUUCUGUGUCGUAGCUAACGCAUUAAGCGCCCCGCCUGGGGAGUACGGCCGCAAGGCUAAAACUCAAAGGAAUUGACGGGGGCCCGCACAAGCGGCGGAGCAUGCGGAUUAAUUCGAUGCAACGCGAAGAACCUUACCAAGGCUUGACAUACACCGGAAACGGCCAGAGAUGGUCGCCCCCUUGUGGUCGGUGUACAGGUGGUGCAUGGUUGUCGUCAGCUCGUGUCGUGAGAUGUUGGGUUAAGUCCCGCAACGAGCGCAACCCUCGUUCUAUGUUGCCAGCGGGUUAUGCCGGGGACUCAUAGGAGACUGCCGGGGUCAACUCGGAGGAAGGUGGGGAUGACGUCAAAUCAUCAUGCCCCUUAUGUCUUGGGCUUCACGCAUGCUACAAUGGCCGGUACAAAGGGCUGCGAUACCGUAAGGUGGAGCGAAUCCCAAAAAGCCGGUCUCAGUUCGGAUUGAGGUCUGCAACUCGACCUCAUGAAGUCGGAGUCGCUAGUAAUCGCAGAUCAGCAACGCUGCGGUGAAUACGUUCCCGGGCCUUGUACACACCGCCCGUCAAGUCAUGAAAGUCGGUAACACCCGAAGCCGGUGGCCUAACCC